CGACGUGGGUAACCUGCCUCAUACAGGGGGAUAACAGUUAGAAAUGACUGCUAAUACCGCAUAAGCGCACAGUGCUGCAUGGCACAGUGUGAAAAACUCCGGUGGUAUGAGAUGGACUCGCGUCUGAUUAGCUAGUUGGUGGGGUAACGGCCUACCAAGGCGACGAUCAGUAGCCGGACUGAGAGGUUGAACGGCCACAUUGGGACUGAGACACGGCCCAG
rnacentral:rRNA from 1 species